GACGAACGCUGGCGGCGUGCUUAACACAUGCAAGUCGAACGGAAAGGCCCUGCUUUUGUGGGGUGCUCGAGUGGCGAACGGGUGAGUAACACGUGAGUAACCUGCCCUUGACUUUGGGAUAACUUCAGGAAACUGGGGCUAAUACCGGAUAGGAGCCCCUGCUGCAUGGUGGGGGUUGGAAAGUUUCGGCGGUUGGGGAUGGACUCGCGGCUUAUCAGCUUGUUGGUGGGGUAGUGGCUUACCAAGGCUUUGGCGGGUAGCCGGCCUGAGAGGGUGACCGGCCACCUUGGGCCUGCGAUACGGCCCAGACUGCAACGGGGGGCAGCGGUGGGGAAUAUUGCACAAUGGGAGGAAGUCUGAUGAAGCAACGCCGCGUGCGUGAUGCCGGCCUUCGGGGUGUAAACCGCUUUCGCCUGUGACGAAGCGGGAGUGACGGUAAUGGGUAAAGAAGCACCGGCUAACUACGUG
rnacentral:rRNA from 1 species